AGUGAACGCUGGCGGUAAGCCUAACACAUGCAAGUCGAACGGCAGCACAGUAAGAGCUUGCUCUUACGGGUGGCGAGUGGCGGACGGGUGAGGAAUACAUCGGAAUCUACUUUUUCGUGGGGGAUAACGUAGGGAAACUUACGCUAAUACCGCAUACGACCUACGGGUGAAAGCAGGGGAUCUUCGGACCUUGCGCGAUUGAAUGAGCCGAUGUCGGAUUAGCUAGUUGGCGGGGUAAAGGCCCACCAAGGCGACGAUCCGUAGCUGGUCUGAGAGGAUGAUCAGCCACACUGGAACUGAGACACGGUCCAGACUCCUACGGGAGGCAGCAGUGGGGAAUAUUGGACAAUGGGCGCAAGCCUGAUCCAGCCAUACCGCGUGGGUGAAGAAGGCCUUCGGGUUGUAAAGCCCUUUUGUUGGGAAAGAAAAGCAGCAGGUUAAUACCCCGCUGUUCUGACGGUACCCAAAGAAUAAGCACCGGCGAACUUCGU
rnacentral:rRNA from 1 species